rnacentral:rRNA from 1 species
AGAGUUUGAUUUUGGCUCAGGACGAACGCUGGCGGCGCGCCUAACACAUGCAAGUCGAACGAGCGAGAGAGAGCUUGCUUUCUCGAGCGAGUGGCGAACGGGUGAGUAACGCGUGAGGAACCUGCCUCAAAGAGGGGGACAACGGUUGGAAACGACUGCUAAUACCGCAUAAGCCCACGGGUCGGCAUCGACCAGAGGGAAAAGGAGCAAUCCGCUUUGAGAUGGCCUCGCGUCCGAUUAGCUAGUUGGUGAGGUAACGGCCCACCAAGGCAACGAUCGGUAGCCGGACUGAGAGGUUGAACGGCCACAUUGGGACUGAGACACGGCCCAGACUCCUACGGGAGGCAGCAGUGGGGAAUAUUGCACAAUGGGGGAAACCCUGAUGCAGCGACGCCGCGUGGGGGAAGAAGGUCUUCGGAUUGUAAACUCCUGUUGUUGGGGAAGAUAAUGACGGUACCCAACAAGGAAGUGACGGCUAACUACGUGCCAGCAGCCGCGGUAAAACGUAGGUCACAAGCGUUGUCCGGAAUUACUGGGUGUAAAGGGAGCGCAGGCGGGAAGACAAGUUGGAAGUGAAAUCUAUGGGCUCAACCCAUAAACUGCUUUCAAAACUGUUUUUCUUGAGUAGUGCAGAGGUAGGCGGAAUUCCCGGUGUAGCGGUGGAAUGCGUAGAUAUCGGGAGGAACACCAGUGGCGAAGGCGGCCUACUGGGCACCAACUGACGCUGAGGCUCGAAAGUGUGGGUAGCAAACAGGAUUAGAUACCCUGGUAGUCCACACCGUAAACGAUGAUUACUAGGUGUUGGAGGAUUGACCCCCUCAGUGCCGCAGCUAACACAAUAAGUAAUCCACCUGGGGAGUACGACCGCAAGGUUGAAACUCAAAGGAAGUGACGGGGGCCCGCACAAGCAGUGGAGUAUGUGGUUUAAUUCGACGCAACGCGAAGAACCUUACCAAGUCUUGACAUCCCCUGACAGGCAUAGAAAUAUGUUUUCUCUUCGGAGCAAGGAGACAGGUGGUGCAUGGUUGUCGUCAGCUCGUGUCGUGAGAUGUUGGGUUAAGUCCCGCAACGAGCGCAACCCUUAUGGUCAGUUAGUACGCAAGAGGACUCUGGCCAGACUGCCGUUGACAAAACGGAGGAAGGUGGGGAGGACGUCAAAUCAUCAUGCCCCCUAUGACUUGGGCUACACACGUACUACAAUGGCGUUAAACAAAGAGAAGCAAGACCGCGAGGGGGAGCAAAACUCAGAAACAACGUCCCAGUUCGGACUGCAGGCUGCAACUCGCCUGCACGAAGUCGGAAUUGCUAGUAAUCGUGGAUCAGCAUGCCACGGUGAAUAAGUUCCCGGGCCUUGCACA